rnacentral:rRNA from 1 species
AUUGAACGCUGGCGGCAGGCCUAACACAUGCAAGUCGAGCGGAGCGGCGGACGGGUGAGUAAUGCCUAGGCAUCUGCCUGGUAGUGGGGGAUAACGUCCGGAAACGGGCGCUAAUACCGCAUACUCUCAGCUGAGCCUAGGUCGGAUUAGCUAGUAGGUGAGGUAAUGGCUCACCUAGGCGACGAUCCCUAGCUGGUCUGAGAGGAUGAUCAGCCAAACUGGGACUGAGACACGGCACAGACUCCUACGGGAGGCAGCAGUGGGGAAUAUUGCACAAUGGGCGCAAGCCUGAUGCAGCCAUGCCGCGUGUAUGAAGAAGGCCCGAGGGUUGUAAAGUACUUUCAGUCGGGAGGCGUUACCGACAGAAGAAGCACCGGCUAACUCCGUGCCAGCAGCCGCGGUAAUUC